CCAGACUCCUACGGGAGGCAGCAGUGGGGAAUAUUGCGCAAUGGGGGCAACCCUGACGCAGCCAUGCCGCGUGAAUGAAGAAGGCCUUCGGGUUGUAAAGUUCUUUCGGUAGCGAGGAAGGCAUUUAGUUUAAUAGACUAGGUGAUUGACGUUAACUACAGAAGAAGCACCGGCUAACUCCGUGCCAGCAGCCGCGGUAAUACGGAGGGUGCGAGCGUUAAUCGGAAUAACUGGGCGUAAAGGGCACGCAGGCGGUGACUUAAGUGAGGUGUGAAAGCCCCGGGCUUAACCUGGGAAUUGCAUUUCAUACUGGGUCGCUAGAGUACUUUAGGGAGGGGUAGAAUUCCACGUGUAGCGGUGAAAUGCGUAGAGAUGUGGAGGAAUACCGAAGGCGAAGGCAGCCCCUUGGGAAUGUACUGACGCUCAUGUGCGAAAGCGUGGGGAGCAAACAGGAUUAGAUACCCUGGUAGUCCACGCUGUAAACGAUGUCGAUUUGGGGGUUGAGCUUUAAGCUCGGCGCCCGUAGCUAACGUGAUAAAUCGACCGCCUGGGGAGUACGGCCGCAAGGUUAAAACUCAAAUGAAUUGACGGGGGCCCGCACAAG
rnacentral:rRNA from 1 species